GGCCCGCAGAAAUGACCCGAAAUACGUUGGCCGGGUGCUGAGUGCCAUGAUCAAUAGCAAUGAUGACAAUGGUGUGCUUGCUGGGAAUUGGAGCGGCACUUACACGGGUGGCCGGGACCCAAGGAACUGGAACGGCAGCGUGGAGAUCCUCAAAAAUUGGAAAAAAUCUGGCUUCAGCCCAGUCCGAUAUGGCCAGUGCUGGGUCUUUGCUGGGACCCUCAACACAGCACUGCGGUCUUUGGGGAUUCCUUCCCGGGUGAUCACCAACUUCAACUCAGCUCAUGACACAGACCGAAAUCUCAGUGUGGAUGUGUACUACGACCCCAUGGGAAACCCCCUAGACAAGGGUAGUGAUAGCGUAUGGAAUUUCCAUGUCUGGAAUGAAGGCUGGUUUGUGAGGUCUGACCUGGGCCCCGCAUACGGUGGAUGGCAGGUGUUGGAUGCUACCCCGCAGGAAAGAAGCCAAGGUAACUUCUCUGGGUGUGAUUCUAAGUCGUGAGCCUCACAGUUAUUUACAG
rnacentral:sRNA from 1 species